CCCUAGCCCUGAUAGAAGUGGAAAUCCUUUUAGUCCCGAUUUUUAUCGGGGCUAAAAGAUUGCAGCGGAUAGGUACUAUCU
rnacentral:sRNA from 1 species